AGUAAUAUGCCUGAUAAAAGGAAUAUUUUGAUGAAAUAUUAAUAUAAAUAUAUAAAUUUAUUAUUACUA
rnacentral:tRNA from 1 species